rnacentral:rRNA from 1 species
UACGUAGGGGGCAAGCGUUGUUCGGAAUUACUGGGCGUAAAGGGCGCGUAGGCGGCCAGCACAAGUCAGUUGUGAAAUCUCCGAGCUUAACUCGGAACGGUCAACUGAUACUGUGCGGCUAGAGUGCAGAAGGGGCAACUGGAAUUCUUGGUGUAGCGGUGAAAUGCGUAGAUAUCAAGAGGAACACCUGCGGCGAAGGCGGGUUGCUGGGCCGACACUGACGCUGAGGCGCGAAAGCUAGGGGAGCGAACGGG